ensembl:lncRNA DLEU1 deleted in lymphocytic leukemia 1
AUUCCAAGAACCAGGAGGUUGUUUGCUGUACUCUCCCUUGUACAGUUAGCUGUCUCUAGUGCCUGAAUGCACUAAUUGUCCUUUGGGUAUGGAUGAGGUAAUGAAGGAAAGGGAUGCUGGGAAGAGAGGCCACAUGAGAAGGCUGCAGCAAACUAAGUGUUGCUUGCUAAAGAAAAAUGAAAGCUGGAAUUUCAGCAGGGAAGAAAGUAUAUGCCCCACCGUGAUGAGUACAAACACACAGCAUCAGGGAAGCCACACAGAAUGAAGCUCUGAGAAGACUGUUAGCAUUUUCCCUCCACGCCCCAGGGGAAAAGGUUGGUUCUCUAACUUGAUGUAUACAAAUUUUCUGAGAAGAUUAUUUAAAAAGUAGUUUCCACCCAAUCCAAGGAUUCCGAUUCAGCAGGGCUGAGGUACUCCGAAGCAGGGUAUGGAUUCUGCUUUCAUCUUUCAAUGCAAGCCUGUUUCCACAGGGUUGAGAUCUGGCAUGGACAAUUUCAGCCUGAAACGAUUACUUUUGGAAAUUUGCAGUGAGUGGAAACAGUCAUGUAGAGCUGUGGAUCUUGCUACCUGGAUCAAUAACUUCUUCUAGUUAAGCUUCUUGCCAAGGAAAAGCAAGGAAUAUCAAAUUUCAUAGACCUAAUGAACCACUGGAAACUGCUUGCACCCAUGUGUGCAAGGAUCGCUUUUUAUGAUUUAUACAAACCAAAGCACUCAUUGGAAUAAGAAUAAUAGCUAACGUUUAUUUAUCAUUUAUUAUCCUGGCCACUGUGCCAAGUAUUUAUAUACAGUGAGUUAUUUAAUCCCUGCAACAACCCAUGGGAGUGGGGUUUAAUCUGGACUGAAUUGGAGGAAAGGAACUGGCACCAGAGUGGAGGCUGGAAGGAUGGUGGAACUGACACUGGGACAGAACACAGAAAACAGAAUCUAAUGCUAGAGGAGGUCUGAUGGCCGGGAGGACAGGAAGAAGGAACCCACAAUGAAGCAAAAGUUGCGUUUAACUCUGUCCUCACCAUUCCUCUCCUGGACCUGUCCUAAACUGGAAGCUGGGGGAGGAUGGAGUGCUGGAAUGCUGCAGAAGUCUCAUGGGAGGGCGCCUGGUGUUCACCACAUGUGUACACUGUUGCACGACCAGAUGGAAAUUUGAAUGCUGGGGCUCAGUGGAACACCUGAAGGAAGCUGGUGAGGCAGAUGUCCCGCUAUGCCUUCCAAGUGUCAUGCAACCAGUUCAUGCCUGUCAGCAUCUCUGCCGGUGGACUCUGUGAGUCAGCAAAUCUACAGAGCAGAGAGCCACAAGUGGGGACAGAUGUGGUCAAAUGCCAUUUAAAUCAGUGAUUCUCAACCCAGGAGUUGUCAUGGCACUGGCCUUGAGUGAGCUGGACCAAGGGAAGUGGUAGAAUUCCCCAUGAAGGACCAAGUGAGCAGAUAGAAGUUUCUCCAUUUUAACUUUUUCUGAGUCAAUUUAAAAAACACCUAGUGCCUUUUUCUGUACAUAGUGCCUGUGGGUUUGAAUUUAAGCCUACCCAAAUGUGCUUUUAUCCCACCUAUUUUGAACCUUGCAUGUCUCCGGGAUAAGAAUUAACAUAAGCUAUAAAUAUU